GACGAACGCUGGCGGCGUGCCUAAUACAUGCAAGUUGAGCGCUGAAGGUUGGUACUUGUACCUACUGGAUGAGCAGCGAACGGGUGAGUAACGCGUGGGGAAUCUGCCUUUGAGCGGGGGACAACAUUUGGAAACGAAUGCUAAUACCGCAUAAAAACUUUAAACACAAGUUUUAAGUUUGAAAGAUGCAAUUGCAUCACUCAAAGAUGAUCCCGCGUUGUAUUAGCUAGUUGGUGAGGUAAAGGCUCACCACGGCGAUGAUACAUAGCCGACCUGAGAGGGUGAUCGGCCACAUUGGGACUGAGACACGGCCCAAACUCCUACGGGAGGCAGCAGUAGGGAAUCUUCGGCAAUGGACGAAAGUCUGACCGAGCAACGCCGCGUGAGUGAAGAAGGGUUUCGGAUCGUAAAAAUCUGUUGGUAGAGAAGAACGUUGGUGAGAGUGGAAAGCUCAUCAAGUGACGGUAACUACCCAGAAAGGGACGGCCAACUACGUG
rnacentral:rRNA from 1 species